AGAAACUUAGGUUAACCAGCUAGACCAAGAGCCUUCAAAGCCCUAAGUGGGAGUUGAAACCUCCCAGUUCCUG
rnacentral:tRNA from 1 species